GAUUCUGCCCUACGGGGAAGGAUGAGAAGCUUCGACUAAGGUUCGACUCGAGCGCCAGCGAGAGAACGUUGCCGCAGGCAAUGGCCCGAAGGGCGAGGAGCGAUAGCGACGAGUUAUCCUUCCCCCUCUAUUC
rnacentral:sRNA from 2 species